rnacentral:rRNA from 1 species
UACGUAGGGUGCAAGCGUUGUCCGGAAUUAUUGGGCGUAAAGAGCUCGUAGGCGGCUUGUCGCGUCGACUGUGAAAACCCGCGGCCCAACUGUGGGCUUGCAGUCGAUACGGGCAGGCUGGAGUUCGGUAGGGGAGACUGGAAUUCCUGGUGUAGCGGUGAAAUGCGCAGAUAUCAGGAGGAACACCGAUGGCGAAGGCAGGUCUCUGGGCCACUACUGACGCUGAGAAGCGAAAGCGUGGGGAGCGAACAGG